GCUUGUGUAGCUCAAUCAGUAGAGCAUGAGGCUCUUAAUCUCAGGGUCAUGGGUUUAAGCCCCAUAUUGAGCA